GAAUGUACCGUGUAAUGGGGGAUAGCUCGGCGAAAGCCGGAUUAAUACCGCAUACGCCCUGAGGGGGAAAGUGGGGGACCGUAAGGCCUCACGUUAUACGAGCAGCCGAUGUCUGAUUAGCUAGUUGGUGAGGUAAAGGCUCACCAAGGCGUCGAUCAGUAGCGGGUCUGAGAGGAUGAUCCGCCACACUGGGACUGAGACACGGCCCAGACUCCUACGGGAGGCAGCAGUGGGGAAUUUUGGACAAUGGGCGCAAGCCUGAUCCAGCCAUGCCGCGUGUCUGAAGAAGGCCUUCGGGUUGUAAAGGACUUUUGUCCGGGAGCAAAUCCUAGUGGUUAAUAACCGCUGGGUCUGAGAGUACCGGAAGAAUAAGCACCGGCUAACUACGUGCCAGCAGCCGCGGUAAUACGUAGGGUGCAAGCGUUAAUCGGAAUUACUGGGCGUAAAGCGUGCGCAGGCGGUUGUGCAAGUCUGAUGUGAAAGCCCCGGGCUUAACCUGGGAACGGCAUUGGAGACUGCACGACUAGAGUG
rnacentral:rRNA from 1 species